rnacentral:rRNA from 1 species
UCCGUAGGUGAACCUGCGGAAGGAUCAUUAAUGAAUUUAGAUUGAGACCAUAGGCGAAAGCCAGUGGUUCUUCUUUCAUAUCCAUAACACCUGUGCACUGUUGGAUGCUUGCAUCCACUUUUAAACUAAACAUUAUUGUAACAAAUGUAGUCUUAUUAUAACAUAAUAAAACUUUCAACAACGGAUCUCUUGGCUCUCGCAUCGAUGAAGAACGCAGCGAAAUGCGAUAAGUAAUGUGAAUUGCAGAAUUCAGUGAAUCAUCGAAUCUUUGAACGCACCUUGCGCUCCUUGGUAUUCCGAGGAGCAUGCCUGUUUGAGUGUCAUGAAACCCUCAAACCCAAGUUUUGGAUUUCGAUCCAUGCUUGAGUUUGGAUUUGGAUGUUUGCCGGUGAUGAACCGACUCAUCUUAAAAGUAUUAGCUUGGAUCUGUCUAUAUGACUGGUUUGACUUGGCAUAAUAAGUAUUUUGCUGAGGACAUCUUCGGAUGGCCAGGACCUAGACUACUGUCUGCUAACUAAACCAUCACUUUAAGUGCAUCUUUGGAUGUUACUCAUUGUGUAACUUUGACAUCUGGCCUCAAAUCAAGUAGGACUACCCGCUGAACUUAAGCAUAUCAAUAAGCGGAGGA